rnacentral:rRNA from 1 species
GACGAACGCUGGCGGCGUGCUUAACACAUGCAAGUCGAACGGAAAGGCCCUGCUUUUGUGGGGUGCUCGAGUGGCGAACGGGUGAGUAACACGUGAGUAACCUGCCCUUGACUUUGGGAUAACUUCAGGAAACUGAGGCUAAUACCGGAUAGGAGCUCCUGCUGCAUGGUGGGGGUUGGAAAGUUUCGGCGGUUGGGGAUGGACUCGCGGCUUAUCAGCUUGUUGGUGGGGUAGUGGCUUACCAAGGCUUUGACGGGUAGCCGGCCUGAGAGGGUGACCGGCCACAUUGGGACUGAGAUACGGCCCAGACUCCUACGGGAGGCAGCAGUGGGGAAUAUUGCACAAUGGGCGGAAGCCUGAUGCAGCAACGCCGCGUGCGGGAUGACGGCCUUCGGGUUGUAAACCGCUUUCGCCUGUGACGAAGCGUGAGUGACGGUAAUGGGUAAAGAAGCACCGGCUAACUACGUGCCAGCAGCCGCGGUGAUACGUAGGGUGCGAGCGUUGUCCGGAUUUAUUGGGCGUAAAGGGCUCGUAGGUGGUUGAUCGCGUCGGAAGUGUAAUCUUGGGGCUUAACCCUGAGCGUGCUUUCGAUACGGGUUGACUUGAGGAAGGUAGGGGGAGAAUGGAAUUCCUGGUGGAGCGGUGGAAUGCGCAGAUAUCAGGAGGAACACCAGUGGCGAAGGCGGUUCUCUGGGCCUUUCCUGACGCUGAGGAGCGAAAGCGUGGGGAGCGAACAGGCUUAGAUACCCUGGUAGUCCACGCUGUAAACGGUGGGUACUAGGUGUGGGGUCCAUUCCACGGGUUCCGUGCCGUAGCUAACGCUUUAAGUACCCCGCCUGGGGAGUACGGCCGCAAGGCUAAAACUCAAAGGAAUUGACGGGGCCCCGCACAAGCGGCGGAGCAUGCGGAUUAAUUCGAUGCAACGCGUAGAACCUUACCUGGGUUUGACAUGGAUCGGGAGUGCUCAGAGAUGGGUGUGCCUCUUUUGGGGUCGGUUCACAGGUGGUGCAUGGCUGUCGUCAGCUCGUGUCGUGAGAUGUUGGGUUAAGUCCCGCAACGAGCGCAACCCUUGUUCACUGUUGCCAGCACGUUAUGGUGGGGACUCAGUGGAGACCGCCGGGGUCAACUCGGAGGAAGGUGGGGAUGACGUCAAGUCAUCAUGCCCCUUAUGUCCAGGGCUUCACGCAUGCUACAAUGGCUGGUACAGAGAGUGGCGAGCCUGUGAGGGUGAGCGAAUCUCGGAAAGCCGGUCUCAGUUCGGAUUGGGGUCUGCAACUCGACCUCAUGAAGUCGGAGUCGCUAGUAAUCGCAGAUCAGCAACGCUGCGGUGAAUACGUUCCCGGG